CCUACGGGAGGCAGCAGUAGGGAAUAUUGGACAAUGGGUGCAAGCCUGAUCCAGCCAUGCCGCGUGCAGGAAGAAGGCCUUCUGGGUCGUAAACUGCUUUUACCGGGGGAUAAAAUACUCUUGCGAGAGGAAUUGAAAGUACCUGGUGAAUAAGCCACGGCUAACUACGUGCCAGCAGCCGCGGUAAUACGUAGGUGGCAAGCGUUGUCCGGAUUUAUUGGGUUUAAAGGGUGCGUAGGCGGUGCUUUAAGUCAGUGGUGAAAUACGGCAGCUCAACUGUCGAGGUGCCAUUGAUACUGGCGUACUUGAGUACUGAUGAGGUAGGCGGAAUGGACGGUGUAGCGGUGAAAUGCUUAGAUAUCGUCCAGAACACCGAUAGCGAAGGCAGCUUACUAAGGAGAAACUGACGCUGAGGCACGAAAGUGUGGGGAUCAAACAGGAUUAGAUACCCGGGUAGUC
rnacentral:rRNA from 1 species